GAUCAACGCUGGCGGCGUGCCUAAUGCAUGCAAGUCGAACGGGGUCGCCUUCGGGCGGCUCACGUGGCGGACGGGUGAGAAACACGUGGCCAAUCUGCCCAGCGGCAGGGGGUAGCCCGCGGAAACGCGGGGUAAUUCCGUAUGAGCUCGCUUCCCGAGUGGGGGGAGUGAGGAAAGGCGCAAGCCGUCGCUGGAGGAGGCUGCGGCCGAUUAGCUAGCUGGUGGGGUAACGGCCGACCAGGGCGAUGAUCGGUAGCCGGCCUGAGAGGGUGACCGGCCACACUGGGACUGAGACACGGCGCAGACUCCGACGGGAGGCAGCGGUGGGGAAUAUUGCACAAUGGGUGCAAGCCUGAGGCGGCAACGCCGCGUGAGGGACGACGGCCUUCGGGUUGUAAACCUCUUUUAGUAGGGAAGAAGCGAAAGUGACGGUACCUGCAGAAAAAGCACCGGCUAACUACGUGCCAGCAGCCGCGGUAAAAC
rnacentral:rRNA from 1 species